rnacentral:rRNA from 1 species
GGGCCCGCACAAGCGGUGGAGCAUGUGGUUUAAUUCGAUGAUACGCGAGGAACCUUACCAGGGCUUAAAUGUAGUGGGACAGGUCUAGAGAUAGACCCUUCUUCGGACUCAUUACAAGGUGCUGCAUGGUUGUCGUCAGCUCGUGCCGUGAGGUGUCAGGUUAAGUCCCGCAACGAGCGCAACCCUCGUCCUAUGUUGCCAGCACGUAAUGGUGGGAACUCAUGGGAUACUGCCGGGGUCAACUCGGAGGAAGGUGGGGAUGACGUCAAAUCAUCAUGCCCCUUAUGUCUUGGGCUUCACGCAUGCUACAAUGGCCGGUACAGUGGGAAGCAAUACGGCGACGUGGAGCAAAUCCCCAAAAGAUGCCUCAGUUCGGAUUGUACUCUGCAACUCGAGUACAUG